GCCGCGUGCCAGGACUCCGACGACGCCGCCGGCACCAGCAACCUCUUCCAGCUUGAGGAGAACAGCCAGCUCAAGGAGGAGCUGAUGCGCAAGACCCGGGAGCUCGACAGAAUCAUACAGACAUAGUAGAAACUGUCAAAUGCAAGUGGAAGCUACCGAGGUG